UACGUAGGGCGCAAGCGUUAUCCGGAAUUAUUGGGCGUAAAGAGCUCGUAGGCGGCUUGUCGCGUCGUUCGUGAAAACCUGCAGCUCAACUGCAGGCUUGCGGGCGAUACGGGCAGGCUAGAGUUCGGUAGGGGAGACUGGAAUUCCUGGUGUAGCGGUGAAAUGCGCAGAUAUCAGGAGGAACACCGGUGGCGAAGGCGGCUCGCUGGACCUCUUCUGACGCUGAGGCGCGAAAGCUAGGGGAGCAAACGGG
rnacentral:rRNA from 1 species